GAUCAUUAUUAAUAGCACAAUAUAAAGUAAAUGGCACUGAAUGUUAUGUUGGGGGCAGAGAAUGACACUGAAAGCUUUUUCUUUAUUGUCUGCAGAGGAGAAGAAAGUAAAGAGCACUAAAGUGGAAGCAAAAGUUAAAAAGGAAGUGAAGGAUGGAAAAGGAGAAGCAAAGACGGCAGAGAAGGUCAAGCAGUCAGAGACAAAAACAACAGAAACUGGGCUAAUAAAGGCCAAAACGAAAGUUAAGGAGGAGAAAGCUCUUCAGACUGUAACUAAAUCGGACAAGAAAGAUCAAUAUGCAUUCUGUCGCUAUGUGAUUGACAUGUUUGCACAAGGGGAUUUUUAUCCAGGUGCAGGACAUAAGGAAUUUGCACCACCUCGUCUUCUUCUAGAACACAGUCCAAGAAAGAAACCAGCAGCUAUUGAAGAAGAAAAGUCUGUUGUGGUACCUAGAGAAGUGAAAAAGAGAAAAGAGGAGAAGAAAAAAAGUGAUGAAAAGAAGAUUAUGACUGAAACUACGGUGAAAGAAAAAACAGGAAAAAAGGAGAAAGCUCAUGAGAAGACAGCUGUCCCUGAAAUUAAAAAAGCAGAUAAAAAAGAAGCUGCUGUAUCCAAAGAACUCAAAAAGCCAGCAAAAGCUCCUGCAGCCAACCCAGCUAUCAAAGGAGCAGCAGCACCAGGUAAAGAAGAAGAAUGUUUGCAUGCAAUUUCUAGUACUUCUGAACCAGUUUAUUGCAUCAUAGCACCAUCUGCUGGAUUGCACAUAAGCCAGUGUUCUUGUC
rnacentral:lncRNA from 1 species